CACCAUUAAAAGGACCCUAAACUUAUCAGAAUACCCCGGUUAAAAAUCCUAGCUUAGCAGAAGCACCAAGGACCUUCACGACAUUUUCUUCGUUCUUUUUCCUUCUGCUCUCUCAUCUUCUUCUCUUCCUAAUCUAACAAUAUCAAUCAAAUCGGCAAACUUCUCCUCACAGACAAGGAAAAUCCUUAACCUCACCCACCGAAAUUUGGAGCAUAAUUCUGUAUACGAUUCUAAUGCUUGAAAUUUGAUUGAUUCUAAACCUAAAUUUGAAUUAGGGUUUUGUUUUGGGUAAUUCUGCUUCUUUGGUUUGUUAGUUAUCGAUUUUAAUUAAGGGAAAAUUAUAUUUUUUGUUGUUCAUCUCUAUUUGGUUUUGUUAUCUGUAUUGAAUACGAACCUUACGACAUGAUUUUUUGAUAGAAUUACUCAUCUACUUUACUUUCAUGGUUCAACUUAAGACCUCUUCGUCAAUGGUUGAAUUCCGUUGAUCACCGAUGACAAUUGAAGCCAAGUCGAAGUCCAAGAAUUAUUGAGCUUGCUCGAUUUCAAGAGCUAGCGGAGGCUGAGAAAGAAAAUGAAUGGCAAUGCCAGUCAAGAGAAUUCUCAACAAAGAGAUGCUCGCUUACAAUGGCGCCAUUUUUUAUACAAAGCAAAAUGAGAUUCAAUGACCUUAAAUGAAACAUCAACAAUGGCGUAAUGCUAAUGAGAGAAGAAAAACAAGAAUUAGAUGUGAAAACAAAGAUGAGCACAUAGCCGAAAGAAGCAAACAACUUACUACCCUCACUCAAGUUCGAUCACAAGACCAUGAAACGGGAACAAGUAGUAUGUGAUGAGAUAGUAUAAUCAUCGAUCCCGGUUAAGCCAUGUACUAGAAAUACCAAUUUUUAAGUAUUGGUAUAUGCUUAACUAAUUAAGGAAUUUGCUAUCAGUGAUUUGUGGCCUGACAAACUUCUGUCGUAUAGGUACUGGGUAGGGCCAUUGAUUUAAGGAGCCUAAUUGCUGAACAGAUGAACUGUAGGAGUUGGACUGUUCGCCCGAGAAACGGCUGAUUUCUAUGGUUUCGGGUCCUAACAAUAAGACUGUUGGAGUAUUACUCAGAGAGAAACAAAAAUUCUAGGAUUUGGCGAAGGCUGUGCUUGAUACUGCUGCUGCAAUACGUGAUGGUGGUUAUGCAAAGCUGAAGUGAAAGGAUCAUCUUCAGGAAAAGAGUAACUUUAUAUAUUUUACCCAUUUAUGGAAGAUAUUUGAUGAUAUCUCAUGCCAAGUGUGGAGGGAGCAUCAACCUUAGUGGUUGGAUGUUUGUCGUGGUCAGAGGGAUGAACACUUGAGGCAUGAUGCUUCAUGAGGUACUACAAAAGCAAUUAAUGUAUUUACAUUGUAUUAAUUAAAUUAAACAAUUAAGGGGAUAUGAUGUAAAACCAAGCACCCUCUUGACAUGACUUUGCAGUAAUCCCAGGGGUGUUGGUGAUCUUAAUUUGGAGUUAUUUGGAUAGCUGUUGUGAGGGUAAGGGUAAUUGUUGGAGUCCUCCAACUUAUAAAAAAGUUAAUCAAUAAACGAUAAGUUUGGGGGUCAUAGAACGGAAUGGCACUCUCAUCGCGCGUGCGUCUUUGCUAGUUAGAUAUUAAGGAAAAAAGCAGUUCACAUAGUUGUUCCUCUCAUCAAUAAGCUGGACAAAUGGGGAUGUGAUGAUUUGAAAUUGAAGAACUUUCUUCUCUAUUACUAGUUCUUCAGAAUUCUUCUAUAGAUGAAUUGGAAGAGGAUGUGAUGAUUUGGAAGAAUCAUAAGUCAGGAAUAUUCACUGUGGCAUCUGCUUAUGAGCUUGAAGUUGGUGAUACAGAUGUGGUUUCCUUCCCAAAAGAGAAAAUUUGGUCUACUAAAUGGCCUCAUAAGGUGGGGUUCUUUUUAUGGCAGGCCGCUCUAGGUCGUCUCCCUACUUUAGAUAACUUGCAGAAGAGGGGUAGUGCUCUGACUACUAGUUCCGGCAACCCACAACCAAAUAUUUGCAAGCUUUGUGAUCUUUUUGUGGAAGAUGCGAAUCAUUUGCUCUUGACUUGUCCUUUUGCAGUUGAGGUUUGGCAUUACUUUCUUCCCAGCGCUAAUUUUACGGGGUCUCUGCAGCCGACUGUGUUAGAGGUUUUGAAAAAUUGGAAGAGCUGUCAUCUCUCUUCUCAAGCUAAGGAACUUUGGGAUAGAUUACCUGCUAGCAUCACUUGGAGUUUAUGGAAGAAGUGUAAUGCUCGUACUUUUGAAGGGAUUCAAAAACGAAGCGAAGCUAUCAUUACCGAGAUAAAAAUUCAGACUAUUCACUGGGCUUCCGUUCAUCCGUCUAUGCAGGGUGUUGCAAUUAAUGAUGGGAUUGUUAACUGGAGUCAUAAAUUUUUUGAUCCUCAUUAAUUUCCAUGUUUUUUUCUCUUUUCUUUCGUGUUUUUGGGUGGAACACUAGUUUAGUUCCAUUUUUUUGAUCUCUUUCAGUAAAUGGAGAUCUAGGUUGUAUUUCUUGGUCUCUAUCAAUACAAUUUUGUCAUUAAAGAAAAAAAUCAAUAAGCUGGACAAACUAAUAGCCCAAUUUGGGAUUGAUUCUUUUCUUUUUGCAAAAGCACUGUAAACAUCUAUUUUAGUAAUACAUUUUU